UACGUAGGGGGCUAGCGUUGUCCGGAUUUAUUGGGCGUAAAGAGCGUGUAGGCGGCCAUGUAGGUCCGGUGUGAAAACUCGAGGCUUAACCUCGAGAUAUCAUCGGAAACCAUUUGGCUAGAGUCCGGAAGAGGAGAGUGGAAUUCCUGGUGUAGCGGUGAAAUGCGCAGAUAUCAGGAAGAACACCCGUGGCGAAGGCGGCUCUCUGGGACGGUACUGACGCUGAGACGCGAAAGCGUGGGGAGCGAACAGG
rnacentral:rRNA from 1 species